rnacentral:rRNA from 1 species
GACGUAGGGCGCGAGCGUUGUCCGGAUUUAUUGGGCGUAAAGAGCUCGUAGGCGGCUUGUUGCGUCGACUGUGAAAACCCGCGGCUUAACUGCGGGCUUGCAGUUGAUACGGGCAGGCUAGAGUUCGGUAGGGGAGACUGGAAUUCCUGGUGUAGCGGUGAAAUGCGCAGAUAUCAGGAGGAACACCGGUGGCGAAGGCGGCCUGCUGGGCAGUUGCUGACACUGAGGCGCGACAGCGUGGGGAGCAAACAGG